AGGGGUAUAGUUUCAACUGGUAGAACGCUAGUCUCCAAAACUAGAUGUUAUAGGUUCGAGUCCUAUUACCCCUG
rnacentral:tRNA from 1 species